CUCCGCCGCCGCUCCCGCCACCCCCCCUUCCUCCUCCUCCUCCCCCGCCGCCUCCUUCUCCUGCCCCUCCGCCACCUCCACACGACCCAGGUCCUCUGUCCCUGAGGGGAAGCCGUAUUCGGUCUCCUUCGCGGGCCUUGGGCGCAGCCAUGGCGGACGGUGGUGGCGGCGGGGGCACCGGCGCGGUGGGCGGUGGCGGCGCGGGCCAGGCCUCGGCGGGGGCGGCAACAGGCGCGACGGGGGCCGGCGGGAGCGGCGGGCCCAUCAACCCGGCCUCACUGCCUCCCGGCGACCCGCAACUCAUCGCUCUCAUCGUGGAGCAGCUCAAGAGCCGGGGCCUGUUUGACAGCUUCCGCCGGGACUGCCUGGCAGACGUGGACACCAAGCCAGCUUACCAAAACCUGAGGCAGAAAGUGGAUAAUUUUGUGUCAACCCAUCUGGACAAGCAGGAAUGGAAUCCUACGAUGAACAAAAACCAAUUGCGAAAUGGUCUGAGGCAGAGUGUGGUUCAGUCAGGGAUGCUGGAAGCUGGAGUGGACAGAAUUAUUUGUCAGGUGGUGGAUCCCAAACUAAACCACAUCUUCAGGCCGCAGAUAGAACGAGCAAUUCAUGAGUUCCUGGCGGCCAAGAAAAAAGAAGCCGUGCCAGCUCCCCCACCGGAGCCCGAGAGCCAGGACCCCGCAGCUCCAGCCCAGGAUGCCUCCUAAGAGUAUGCCUCGGCUCCAUUGAAUUGAUGGUGAAGAACUGGAUUCGGCUACGUAAGAGUACAGCUUCAAAUGCAGACAGGCCAAGGUCGUCGCUGACUUCCAGAUUCAACUUUGACUGUGGGGCGGUUUCCAGAGAGAGCGGGGAGCAGGUGUGGCAGUAGGGAUGCUGACCUUGCCUGCCCCCACGUCGUGCUGCCGUGUGGACAGCCUGUUCGAGGAGACGACAGCCAGCAGACACUACAGAUACACUGAGAAACACUACCGCAACCUGGGGUUGUCCUGAAACAAACCUUUAUACUUGAACUUGGAGACUGUGUGGACUUUAUGGUUUGUGCUUGGGGGUAAGCAAAAGCUGCGGUGCGGGAACGUGACCAGCCCCAAAGGUGCAGUCCGACAGUGACGGUCAGGGUUCCCGGGGACAGGUAUUCGGCGACGCUCGUUUGAUUGAUAUUGUUUCCCAGAGCUGCAGACUUAGAGUUUACAGGCAUUAGCAUCAAACGGCUUUAAGAUUGUUGUGACCCUCUCAUACGUGACUCUUGUAGCCUCAGUUUCCUUUCCCCUGUAAGUGGUGUCAAAACGUGGGACCCCAGGAUGCGUGAGGAAAUGCAGGCUUAGGCAUAAAGGAGAAACAUUUGCAGGCUCUCUGUCCAGGGCUGCUGCUUGUCCUGCAGGGGCUAGUGAGCCUUGGACAUGUUUGUUGUCUUCAUGUUUGUGGUUUUUAGAAGGUGAAUAGUCAGUAAGUGGCUUGAGUUUUGUAAUAAAAUCAUUUGAUACUCUUA